UACAGAGGUGGCAAGCGUUGUUCGGAAUUACUGGGCGUAAAGGGCGCGUAGGCGGCCUUCUAAGUCAGACGUGAAAUCCCCCGGCUUAACCUGGGAACUGCGUCUGAUACUGGAGGGCUUGAGUGCGGGAGAGGGAUGUGGAAUUCCAGGUGUAGCGGUGAAAUGCGUAGAUAUCUGGAGGAACACCGGUGGCGAAGGCGGCAUCCUGGACCGACACUGACGCUGAGGCGCGAAAGCUAGGGGAGCAAACGGG
rnacentral:rRNA from 1 species